GACGAACGCUGGCGGCGUGCCUAACACAUGCAAGUCGAACGAAGCAUUGGAAGCUUGCUUUUGAUGCUUAGUGGCGGACGGGUGAGUAACGCGUGAGCAACCUGCCUUUCAGAGGGGGAUAACGUUUGGAAACGAACGCUAAUACCGCAUAACAUAUCUGGGUCGCAUGAUUGAGAUAUCAAAGGAGCAAUCCGCUGAAAGAUGGGCUCGCGUCCGAUUAGCUAGUUGGCGGGAUAACAGCCCACCAAGGCGACGAUCGGUAGCCGGACUGAGAGGUCGAACGGCCACAUUGGGACUGAGACACGGCCCAGACUCCUACGGGAGGCAGCAGUGGGGGAUAUUGCACAAUGGAGGAAAACUCUGAUGCAGCAACGCCGCGUGAGGGAAGAAGGAUUUCGGUUUGUAAACCUCUGUCAUUGGUGACGAUAAUGACGGUAGCCGAUGAGGAAGCUCCGGCUAACUACGUGCCAGCAGCCGCCGCGGUAA
rnacentral:rRNA from 1 species